UACGUAGGGUGCAAGCGUUAAUCGGAAUUACUGGGCGUAAAGUGUGCGCAGGCGGUUAUGCAAGACAGAUGUGAAAUCCCCGGGCUCAACCUGGGAACUGCAUUUGUGACUGCAUGGCUAGAGUGCGGCAGAGGGGGAUGGAAUUCCGCGUGUAGCAGUGAAAUGCGUAGAUAUGCGGAGGAACACCGAUGGCGAAGGCAAUCCCCUGGGCCUGCACUGACGCCCAUGCACGAAAGCGUGGGGAGCAAACAGG
rnacentral:rRNA from 1 species